rnacentral:rRNA from 1 species
AAUAGAUACCCCGGGUAGUCCAUGCCGUAAACGUUCGGGAACUAGAUGUAGGGCCUGUUCCACGGGUUCUGUGUCGUAGCUAACGCAUUAAGUUCCCCGCCUGGGGAGUACGGCCGCAAGGCUAAAACUCAAAGGAAUUGACGGGGGGCCCGCACAAGCGGCGGAGCAUGCGGAUUAAUUCGAUGCAACGCGAAGAACCUUACCAAGGCUUGACAUAUAGAAGAACACUGCAGAGAUGCAGGACUCUUUGGACACUUCUAUACAGGUGGUGCAUGGUUGUCGUCAGCUCGUGUCGUGAGAUGUUCGGUUAAGUCCGGCAACGAGCGCAACCCUCGUCCUAUGUUGCCAGCACGUGAUGGUGGGAACUCAUGGGAUACUGCCGUGGUCAACACGGAGGAAGGUGGGGAUGACGUCAAAUCAUCAUGCCCCUUAUGUCUUGGGCUUCACGCAUGCUACAAUGGCCGGUACAAAGGGCUGCGAUACCGUAAGGUGGAGCGAAAUCCCGAAAAACGCCGGUCUCAGUUCGGAUUGGGG